UACGGAGGGGGCUAGCGUUGUUCGGAAUUACUGGGCGUAAAGCGCACGUAGGCGGGCUGGAAAGUCAGGGGUGAAAUCCCGGGGCUCAACCCCGGAACUGCCUUUGAAACUCCCAGUCUUGAGGUCGCGAGAGGUGAGUGGAAUUCCGAGUGUAGAGGUGAAAUUCGUAGAUAUUCGGAGGAACACCAGUGGCGAAGGCGGCUCACUGGCGCGAUACUGACGCUGAGGUGCGAAAGCGUGGGGAGCAAACAGG
rnacentral:rRNA from 1 species